UACCUAAAACUGGAAGAUGUGACACAUAAAUUUAAUAAGCCCUGUAUAAUGAAUAUAAAGAUAGGGCAAAAAAGCUAUGAUCCUUUUGCCUCAUCUGAGAAGAUUCAGCAAGUACCCAUUAAUGGAAGAGAUUGGGUUUCUUGGUGCUUGGCAUGAGGGUUUACCAUGUUCAUUCCGAUAGCUAUGAUAUACAAAACCAGCAUUAUGGAAGAAGCUUAACAAAAGGAACUACAAAGGAUGGAGUCUCCGGAUUUUUUCAUAAUGGGUACUGCUUAAGAAAAGAUGCUGUUGCUGCCAGUAUUCAGAAGAUUGAGAAAAUUCUGCAGUGGUUUGAAAACCAGAAGCAGCUUAACUUUUAUGCAAGUUCAUUACUAUUGGUUUAUGAAAGUUCAUCUCAGCCAACCACUACAAAAUUGAAUGACAGAACUUUGGCAGAAAAGUUUUUGUCCAAAGGACAACUGUCAGACACAGAGGUACUAGAGUACAAUAAUAACUUUCAUGUAUUAAGUUCCACAGUGAAUGGAAAAAUAGAGGCUUAAGUGGGCAAAAACUUGUCCAAGAUGUAUGCUCGUCACAGGAAAAUGUAUACAAAAACCAUCACAGUCAGACUUCAAUGAAAGUUGAAAAUCUGGAGCAAGACAAUGAGUGGAAAAGCAUGUCACAGAACAUUUAAAUGGAAAUGUACUUUCCCAACUGGAAAAAGUUUUCUACCAUCUUCCCACUGGUUGCCAAGAGAUUGCUGAAGUAGGAGUGCGAAUGAUAGAUUUUGCUCAUGUGUUCCCUAGCAGCACAAUAGAUGAGGGAUAUAUUUAUGGGCUAAAGCAUUUAAUUUCUGUACUUCGAAGUAUUUUAGAC
rnacentral:lncRNA from 1 species